AGGCUACAUAGAGAAACCCUGUCUCAAACCCAAACAAAAUGAAAACCUGAAUGGAGUUCCCCAAGGGGCCCUGGUAUGCAACAGGAGCCUCUUUAGUAGUGUAUACAGCUGGUUGCCUAUAUGGGUUGUCCUAAGGGACCUUGGAGGCAAUU
ensembl:snoRNA Gm26277 predicted gene, 26277